GAUGAACGCUGGCGGCGUGCCUAAUACAUGCCAGUCGAGCGAACGGACGAGAAGCUUGCUUCUCUGAUGUUAGCAGCGGACGGGUGAGUAACACGUGGAUAACCUACCUAUAAGACUGGGAUAACUUCGGGAAACCGUAGCUAAUACCGGAUAAUAUUUUGAACCGCAUGGUUCAAAAGUGAAAGACGGUCUUGCUGUCACUUAUAGAUGGAUCCGCGCUGCAUUAGCUAGUUGGUAAGGUAACGGCUUACCAAGGCAACGAUGCAUAGCCGACCUGAGAGGGUGAUCGGCCACACUGGAACUGAGACACGGUCCAGACUCCUACGGGAGGCAGCAGUAGGGAAUCUUCCGCAAUGGGCGAAAGCCUGACGGAGCAACGCCGCGUGAGUGAUGAAGGUCUUCGGAUCGUAAAACUCUGUUAUUAGGGAAGAACAUAUGUGUAAGUAACUGUGCACAUCUUGACGGUACCUAAUCAGAAAGCCACGGCUAACUACGUG
rnacentral:rRNA from 1 species